AGUUCAUAGUCAACAAAGCAUGCAGGAGUCAUGAGGCAAAUAGCAAAAUGCACAAGAACAUUUUUUAAUAUAUAACGACCUCGGGCUAGCCAUUGUAAGGUCAGGGUCACUUUCCCCAGUGUGUGCUGGAGGCGAGCGAAAGCUCGGGAGAGAGGCGGGAGUGUGGUGGAGACGGGCCAGGGCAGACGGUGAACAGAUCACCAGGCGGAAUCCAAGCAGCAGUGCAGCAGGCAACGGGAUCAGUCGUUUCCCUCCAAAGGCUUCGCAGCAACAAAGCAACAGUAUGAGAGAGCCUGGCAAUGGUUGCCAUGGCAACCAUCCUGAUUGGGAGCUGGCGCAGUAGGCUACCAGAGAAAGAAGGAAACGUGGGAAGAAGAUGAAGUCGUGGAUCAAAGUCCUUGUUGAGUCAUGUCAUCUUCACUUCCUGCUGUGACUGAAGUUGGUAGCAUAUAGAUUUCAAAACAGGUAUCACGUCCUAAGCUCAUCUCUAUUUUGGAAUCUACCUGUGACAGAAACAUGUAAAAACCCUGAACACAAACAUAGCAAUCUAUUUUCAUAUCCUACAAAAACAUAAUUUUUUAAAACUGGCCGGCUACUGUGAAUAAAACACAACAGAAAAACAAUUUCCAACAGUAGCUAGGUUUCCAUCCAAUUGGCGACAGAUUUUCAAGUGAGUAUUCUAUAAUCUGCAUAAA